rnacentral:misc_RNA from 1 species
ACCACAAUUUACCUGUUUGGGUGUUUAUCAACUAUCAGCUGUACCAAACAGAUAAACCAAACACCCUCUACAUCCACCAGGCCUGCUCUACAUCCACCAGGCCUGCCUUGAAGUUGAGGAUCUGUUGGAAUCUUGUUCAACUUCAACAUUAGUUGUGCCAAAUUAGGAUUACCACCAAUUCUUCCCCGUAAUCUAGGAUUACCAAAUUAUACUUGAGCCAGGAAGCCCAUCCCAGAUGAUUGCAGUGACGGUGAGGAAGGGUCACGAGAAGCAAGAUAACACCUGGCAGCGUAGGCUUCUGACAGAAGUGAGGGUAUCAAGGGGUUGGAACGGGGGGUUUUGUCGGGCAAUUGUUGGCGAAUCCGUUCUAAACCAGGAGUUGGGCCACACCUGAACUAACACAUUAUCUAAAAACCUUUUUCUAAAUAUGUAUAUAUGUAUCCCUGGGCGAAAUGGUCGUAAAGCAUAGAUGCACAUAGUGAUAUACAAAUUGGAGUAUACAGCAACAUUGGCUCUCCCAUCACUUAUCAUCAUAUCAUAUAGUGAAAGCAGGGACGACGCGUAUGUAUCAAUAAUGCGUAUGAUGGUUUAAACCACAUGUGAGUAAAUGCUGCAGUUACGCGUGUGGCUCCAUCUGAUUGAGAAGGAAGGUGCCUUCACUGUUCUUGUGCACCACAACCUUGAACUUCUCUUCGCUUCUUUUUGCAUGAUCAUCUACCAUCUCAGCCUUGGCAUGAAUAAUCUCUUGAAGUUCAUGAGGGAACAAUGAGUUGGACCUCUGUUGAAUGGUCUUCACAGCACGGCUGGCAGCAUCUUGCACUGCAGGAUCAUGUAGUGGCACUUCUUUCCAUCCAGUACCAUGCCCAUCUGAUUUACAAAUCCAAGUCAGUAUCCCAAUCCUAACGCAGAAGAAAGCUAAAAGCUAAAGCUUUAUGAUCUUUCUUGACACCGACAUCUGAGGGGGUAAAGGAGGGAGCAACACCACCGUCGACAUCACUGGCAUGCUUGAACUCCUGCAAUUCUUUGAAAUUAAGCCAAGGCUUUACCCAAACCUUAGCUUCAUAAAGCUUCU